GUGGGGAAUUUUGGACAAUGGGCGAAAGCCUGAUCCAGCCAUUCCGCGUGCAGGAUGAAGGCCCUCGGGUUGUAAACUGCUUUUGUACAGAACGAAAAAGCUCCGGCUAAUACCUGGAGUCCAUGACGGUACUGUAAGAAUAAGCACCGGCUAACUACGUGCCAGAAGCCGCGGUAAUACGUAGGGUGCAAGCGUUAAUCGGAAUUACUGGGCGUAAAGCGUGCGCAGGCGGUUUUGUAAGACAGAGGUGAAAUCCCCGGGCUCAACCGGGGAACUGCCGUUGUGACUGCAAGGCUGGAGUGCGGCAGAGGGGGAUGGAAUUCCGCGUGUAGCAGUGAAAUGCGUAGAUAUGCGGAGGAACACCGAUGGCGAAGGCAAUCCCCUGGGCCUGCACUGACGCUCAUGCACGAAAGCGUGGGGAGCAAACAGGAUUAGAAACCCCAGUAGUCC
rnacentral:rRNA from 1 species